CCCCGAAGUUAAGCAUCAUUGGGCGCGGUCAGUACUUGGGUGGGUGACCACCUGGGAACACUGCGUGCCGUU